AGCAAUGCUGAGUGCUGAUUACAGCGCUCGGCAGGCUCCUGUGCGAAAAAUGAAGCGAAGUAGGCUUGCUCAGCCAUGACGCUGGCUCAGGAAAUGUUUGUGCAAGUCAGUGACUGAGGUUGUUUUAUCACUGAGGCUAUCAGAUUGUUUCCUCAUGGAGGGCAUUAUGCAGGUGGUGGAAGGGAGAAACGAGAAGCAUAAAGGUGGAAAGUAAGUUCUAUAUUUUGAUCUCUUCAAUUUAAAGGCAAUUCCUUUCAAGUUGUAGUAGAGAAAGACUGGUUUGUGUAUCUGUGUACUGAAAGUCCCAGGGGCAGGCUGAACAAUGGUCCCCCAAAGAGAUCCAAGUUCGAAUCCCAGGCACCUGUGACCGUGCUGCCUUACAUGGCAAAGGUCCUCUUCCCCCGCUGUCCCCAUUCCUCCUCUUCCCUUGCCUCCCUCCUCCUCUUUCCCCUCCCCCCUCCCUCCACCCCUUCCCUCUUCCUCUUUGCUCUCCUCCUCCUUCUUUGCUUGUAGCCAGCAUUCAUCCAUUGGACAUCCUGGCAUUUGCUGAGGGCUGGCGGGAUGAGCAGCGGCAGUUAUCAAAAGGAGCCUGCUCUGUAUCCUUCACUUCAGAGAUUGAGAAGUGAGGUUUUCCAGGGCCCAGCCAAAGACCGGAGCCCCCACCACCAGGUGUUUGCGAGGCACAGACCACGGAGAAGAAGAGGCUGGGUAAGCAGAAAGCCUGUGUUCACAGAGGCCACCAUUGGAGAUGGGGGUGAUGAGGGAGGGGAGGAAAACGCGAGUCAGGCUGACAGCACCUGCCCAGGGGCUUCUACAGAAAGGCUCAUCUCCCCUUUCUGGAUUCUUCCCUCGCUCUACCACAGGUGCCUAGUGUCCCACUCUUCAGCAUAUUAACCACGUCUUUGAUUGUCUAUCUACUGACCCGUUGACCUUUGGGGCCUUGUGACCCUGGAGGGAGGGACUCUUCCAGAGCAGGCCAGUUCCUAGAGAUAGUAAACAACUCCCUUCCAAGGGCGCUUGUCAAAUACGACACAACCAAUCCAGGGUCCACGCCCUGACACCUCCUUUCCUGAGCUUUCAUGCUCUGGGCCACUCUGCACCCCACGGCCAGCUACCAGACAGCCGUGGGCAGCCCCUACUCUUCAGAGCCCCCCAAAGUUACUCAAACUAGCCAGUCCUAAAUAGCUCCCCCUGCCUUGCUCGGCCUCUCCUGCACAAACUACGCUAAAGGCUCUGGCCCACAACUGGCCUCCUUCUCCCUCUUCCUCUUGGCCAACCCUCCUGCCCUCCUGCCCUCACGUGCGGCCCUCGUGGUGUGGCAUGCCUUCUCCUCUGUGGGACUCUGAGGAACACACUAUCUUUUCAGUGG
rnacentral:lncRNA from 1 species